rnacentral:rRNA from 1 species
UACAGAGGUCUCAAGCGUUGUUCGGAUUCAUUGGGCGUAAAGGGUGCGUAGGUGGCCAGGUAAGUUUGGUGUGAAAGCUCGGAGCUUAACUCCGAAAAGUCAUUGAAUACUAUCUGGCUGGAGGGUCGGAGGGGAGACUGGAAUUCUCGGUGUAGCAGUGAAAUGCGUAGAUAUCGAGAGGAACACCAGUGGCGAAGGCGGCACCCUGGACCAGCACUGACGCUGAGGCACGAAAGCGUGGGGAGCAAACAGG